CAGUAGCCGCGGUAAUACGUAGGUGGCAAGCGUUGUCCGGAAUUAUUGGGCGUAAAGGGCUCGCAGGCGGUUUCUUAAGUCUGAUGUGAAAGCCCCCGGCUCAACCGGGGAGGGUCAUUGGAAACUGGGAAACUUGAGUGCAGAAGAGGAAAGUGGAAUUCCACGUGUAGCGGUGAAAUGCGUAGAGAUGUGGAGGAACACCAGUGGCGAAGGCGACUCUCUGGUCUGUAACUGACGCUGAGGAGCGAAAGCGUGGGGAGCGAACAGGAUUAGAUACCCGGGUAGUCCCUGUCUCUUAUAC
rnacentral:rRNA from 1 species